UCUUUGAAGAAAAGUAAACACUUUAAAAUCAAGAAAAG
rnacentral:sRNA from 1 species